GUAAAGAAACCCCGGUAAACUCCGUGCCAGCAGCCGCGGUAAUACGGAGGGGGUUAGCGUUGUUCGGAAUUACUGGGCGUAAAGCGCGCGUAGGCGGACUGGAAAGUUGGGGGUGAAAUCCCAGGGCUCAACCCUGGAACUGCCUCCAAAACUAUCAGUCUAGAGUUCGAGAGAGGUGAGUGGAAUUCCGAGUGUAGAGGUGAAAUUCGUAGAUAUUCGGAGGAACACCAGUGGCGAAGGCGGCUCACUGGCUCGAUACUGACGCUGAGGUGCGAAAGUGUGGGGAGCAAACAGGAUUAGAUACCCUGGUAGUCCACACCGUAAACGAUGAAUGCCAGUCGUCGGGUAGCAUGCUAUUCGGUGACACACCUAACGGAUUAAGCAUUCCGCCUGGGGAGUACGGUCGCAAGAUUAAAACUCAAAUGAAUUGACGGGG
rnacentral:rRNA from 1 species